UUGGUCCCUCUUGAAACACAGUAAAGUUAC
rnacentral:piRNA from 1 species